rnacentral:misc_RNA from 1 species
UCCCAGUUUCCCGGGCAGUCUCAUCAGAGUGCCUCCCGAAGGAGUAGCAACUGACGACAGGGGUUGCGCUCGUUAAAGGACUUAACCCAACAUCUCACGACACGAGCUGACGACAGCCAUGCAGCACCUGUUCAAGUGUCCUGGUUUCCCAGAAAAACUGUGUUUCCACAGCGGUCACUUGUAUGUCAAGCCUAGGUAAGGUUUCUCGCGUAGUGUCGAAUUAAACCACAUGUUCCACCGCUUGUGCGGGCCCCCGUCAAUUUCUUUAAGUUUUAGUCUUGCGACCGUAGUCCUCAGGCGGAUCACUUAACGCGUUAGCUUCGAUACACAACUGUUAACCAAUCAUACAUCUAGUGAUCAUCGUUUACGGCGUGGACUAC